GACGAACGCUGGCGGCGUGCUUAACACAUGCAAGUCGAACGGAAAGGCCCUGCUUUUGUGGGGUGCUCGAGUGGCGAACGGGUGAGUAACACGUGAGUAACCUGCCCUUGACUUUGGGAUAACUUCAGGAAACUGGGGCUAAUACCGGAUAGGAGCUCCUGCUGCAUGGUGGGGGUUGGAAAGUUUCGGCGGUUGGGUAUGGACUCGCGGCUUAUCAGCUUGUUGGUGGGGUAGUGGCUUACCAAGGCUUUGACGGGUAGCCGGCCUGAGAGGGUGACCGGCCACAUUGGGACUGGGAUACGGCCCAGACUCCUACGGGAGGAAGCAGUGGGGAAUAUUGCAAAAUGGGCGGAAGCCUGAGGCAGCAACGCCGCGUGCGGGAUGACGGCCUUCGGGUUGUAAACCGCUUUCGCCUGUGACGAAGCGUGAGUGACGGUAAUGGGUAAAGAAGCACCGGCUAACUACGUG
rnacentral:rRNA from 1 species